rnacentral:rRNA from 1 species
AGUGGCGGACGGGUGAGUAACGCGUGGGUAACCUGCCUCAUACAGGGGGAUAACAGUUGGAAACGACUGCUAAUACCGCAUAGGCACACAGUACCGCAUGGUACGGUGUGAAAAACUCCGGUGGUAUGAGAUGGACCCGCGUCUGAUUAGCCAGUUGGCGGGGUAACGGCCCACCAAAGCGACGAUCAGUAGCCGACCUGAGAGGGUGACCGGCCACAUUGGGACUGAGACACGGCCCAAACUCCUACGGAAGGCAGCAG